rnacentral:rRNA from 1 species
UACGUAGGGCGCAAGCGUUGUCCGGAAUUAUUGGGCGUAAAGAGCUCGUAGGCGGUUUGUCGCGUCUGCUGUGAAAACUCGGGGCCUAACCCCGGGCCUGCAGUGGGUACGGGCAGACUAGAGUGCGGUAGGGGAGACUGGAAUUCCUGGUGUAGCGGUGAAAUGCGCAGAUAUCAGGAGGAACACCGGUGGCGAAGGCGGGUCUCUGGGCCGAUACUGACGCUGAGGAGCGAAAGCGUGGGGAGCGAACAGG